rnacentral:rRNA from 1 species
UACGGAGGGGGCUAGCGUUGUUCGGAAUUACUGGGCGUAAAGCGCACGUAGGCGGCUUUGCAAGUCAGAGGUGAAAGCCCGGGGCUCAACCCCGGAAUUGCCUUUGAGACUGCAUCGCUAGAAUUGUGGAGAGGUAAGUGGAAUUCCGAGUGUAGAGGUGAAAUUCGUAGAUAUUCGGCGGAACACCAGUGGCGAAGGCGACUCACUGGCCCGAUACUGACGCUGAGGCGCGAAAGCAUGGGGAGCGAACGGG